ensembl:lncRNA
UAGAGAGGAAACCCCCGAUUUUUCUAAAUGUAUUUUCUUUUUUUUUUUCUAAAUAAAACAGCAUUAUUCCCAGAGUGAAUUCAGAAGGAUUAGAUGAGGUAACCCUGCAAAAUCCUAAACCCGUUUCCUCCCCCCUAGUCUUGACUAAGAAGCUGCAUGCUCUUAAGAGCAUUGGAAAAAUCUCUCAAAAUGAAGAAUUCCUUUCUAAUCAAACAGAUUUCUUGAUUAAUUUCCAAAUUCCUUCUAAAAUAAAUAAUCCAGCUAGGCUUGGGCAAAAAAAUUUCUUUUUCUAAGCAAAAUAAGUUUUAGUGCGAGUUCUCUCUCUACCUGAUGUUACAGGGUUCACUAAUAAUGCUUUCACAAACAUAAAUGUUGUUUUUACAUUUGUUUGCAGAUCACUUAAAGUGCAAAUUGCAUUUUAUUUUAUUCCAGACAUUGUAAUUUCAAUGGUACUAGUUCAUAUUUAGAACUUACAUAAAUACAUGCUUGUCAUUAAAAAAAAUCUAUUGCUGUAGCAGUGACGCUAAGGCUAGGAUUAGAAAGGGGGGGAGGAAGAAAGAGAGAAAGAGAGAGAGACUGAGACUCUUGUUCUUCCUGCAUUUGUUUGCUUGCUUUUUGGAGGUACCGUCCACCCGCCUAAGUGAUGGCUUUGAUGUACUGGGAAUCGGUACAGUAGCAGGGUCCCUGGCUGCUGUCUUUGAUUCCAGGGAUCUCCUUUGGGCUCUGGUGGAUGUACUGCUCCUAGUCUUUAUCUGAAAUCCAUCCUCUCAUUUCAAGCCCUUUGGCUUCCAGACUCUGCUCCAAACUCUUGGAGGUAGCUUUAAGACUUUUUUUUUUUUUUUUUUUGGGCAUUAGGGAAGGGGUAUGUAAUUUCCCCCCUUUCUCCACUCUAGACCUUUCCUCGCUAUUUAAAUAUAUUGGCUUUCUUUCUUACGAAUUUAGUCUGAAAUUAUUUUUCACUGCCUUUAUUACAUCCCUGCUUUUGAUGGCAAAAUAGCUUCCUGUGUUUUGAAAACAUCUGCUUUCCAGGUUUUACACGAGAAAAUUGAUUUUACUUUUCUCUUCAGUCCAGAAAGGUAGAAAGUUGGACUUGUUUCCAAGUGCAACUUUUCCUUUUCUUGUCUUUCCUUAAGUUACCCCCUUUCAGUUCUGAUUCACGUUCCCCCUUUUAUUUCUUCUAAUCAUCACUCCCCCCUUCCCCUCUCCUUCUAAAGAACCAGAGAAGAUUGAUCGCUUCUUAUUUCAGAAGACAAAAUUAACAUAUUAUAUAUUUUUUUGUCUAGUCUAUGGUAUGUGUUAAAGUUAUCUCCGUAUUUUCUAUAUUUGUCCUCUGAUUUGGGGGGAGCUAAUUUUCCUCCUUUAAAAAAAAUCUCAGAUUUGCAAUUUAAAGUGGCCUGUAUGCUAAGUCUCUGCCUUUCACUUAAAUCUUUGCUUUAAGCUAUCCCACUCUAUUCUUGCCCCCCUUACUCCUCUCUUCGUUGAUGCUUUCUUCCCAUUUAAUUUAAGCAUCGCUGCUUUUGCCAAAAAAAGAAGAGAAAGAGAAAAAGAAAAAACGAGAAAGAAGGAGAAAGAAAAAAGAGAAAGAAAGAAAAAAAAUCUUAAAAAAAAAAUCUUAGCCAGGUUCCUAUUGUUGCUUCUCUGCAUUUCACUUCUCGGUGUGUGUGUGUGUGUGUGUGCGUGUGCGUGUGCCGCGUGUGUGUAUGUGUUUUUAAUACAUGCAUAAACUUUUGGUGCCUCUCUCCCUCUUCCUGGGCUCUUCUCUCAUCCUCUCUUCCUGCUCUCCUGGCCCUGCUCAUCACUUUCCCCUGGUUUUUUUUUUUUUUUUUUCCUCCCUUCCUCCCCUCUGCCUCCCUCCACCUCCCCCUUUUCUUUUUUGCUGAAUCUUAUUGAUCCAGAAGGUGGCUAAUUAGCCCUUCCCGUCGUGCCUGGCUCCCACUUCCAGCGCGUCCCCUCCGACCGCUGCAGCCGCCGCCGCCGCCGCCGCCUCCUCCUCCUCCUCCUCCCGGCCGCAGCCGCCGCCGCCACCGCCUGCUUUGCAUCCCAAUUACAGCCUAGAGCCGCUGCCGCCGCCGCCGCCGCUUCUCCUCCGUGGCCCCUGCCCG